AAGGUUUCCGUAGGUGAACCUGCGGAAGGAUCAUUGUCGAAACCUGCCUAGCAGAACGACCCGCGAACUAGUUAACAACACCGAGGGGGUGGCAAGGAUGCCUCUGUGCACCGAACCCUUCCUCCGAGCCCGGGCGUGCGGUGCCGUCUCAUCUCUGUCGGCUCUUGCGAGUGUUUGAAGGACGGCAUCGCCUCUCGCGGCUUAACAACAAACUCCCGGCGCGAGUCGCGCCAAGGAAACGAAACGAAAAAGAGCAUGCUGGUCUUCGACGGCAUCGUUCGCGGUGCGCGGUCGAAACGCCUCGUGUCUCCUUUCUUGCAAUGUCUGAAACGACUCUCGGCAACGGAUAUCUCGGCUCUCGCAUCGAUGAAGAACGUAGCGAAAUGCGAUACUUGGUGUGAAUUGCAGAAUCCCGUGAACCAUCGAGUCUUUGAACGCAAGUUGCGCCCCAAGCCAUUAGGCCGAGGGCACGCCUGCCUGGGUGUCACGCAUCGUCGUCCCCCAAUCCUUUCGGUAUCGGGGACGGAAAAUGGCCUCCCGUGCGCAUCCCGCUCGCGGUUGGCCCAAAAGCUAUUCCUCGGCGACGACCGUGCCGCGACGAUCGGUGGUGUGAUGCCUCGAGCAUUGCUCGUCCCUAGUCGCGAGCGCCCGUUGUCCGGUCGGAAGACUUUCGGACCCUUUGCGCAUCGUACCGACGAUGCUCGCUUCGCGACCCCAGGUCAG
rnacentral:misc_RNA from 1 species